rnacentral:rRNA from 1 species
UACGUAGGGUGCGAGCGUUAAUCGGAAUUACUGGGCGUAAAGCGUGCGCAGGCGGUAAGUUAAGUCUGAUGUGAAAGCCCCGGGCUCAACCUGGGAAUGGCAUUGGAAACUGGCUUGCUGGAGUGUGGCAGAGGGGGGUGGAAUUCCGCGUGUAGCAGUGAAAUGCGUAGAGAUGCGGAGGAACACCGAUGGCGAAGGCAGCCCCCUGGGUCAAGACUGACGCUCAUGCACGAAAGCGUGGGGAGCAAACAGG